GGGAUGACAAGGGCGCUUAUACGGUGAAAUCAUGCUAUAGGCAUCUAACUACUGUGAUGGGGGAUGAUCAGCCGUGGGGAAAAAUAUGGGGUUUGCAUAUACCUCUCAAGGAAUGUGGCCGAAUCAGCCUUGCAUUUGUUCGUUCACUGUACUGUGACGACAAGAAUUUGGAAUAAUCUGGGAAUGGCUCAUAUCUCGGCUUUUAAUGAACACUGAUGUUCCUGGAGAACUGGCGGAACGCGAAUGAGGCUACAUCCAUAACCAACGCUGAUGCGCCCCAUCCUACACGCUGGACUAAGCCUGCGUUGGGGAGGAUUAAGCUGAACACAGAUGCAGCAAUUUGCCAAGGCUCUAACGUCAUGGGUCUAGGUUGGGUGUUGCGUGAUGAUGAGGGGAAGUUUCUAGCUACCAAGAACACAAUACUGCCCGGGAAUUACUUGGUGAAGGAGUCUGAAGCUAUGUCUAUUAGAGAGGCUCUGGGUUGGUUAAUAAGUACUGGUAUGGGGAGUGUGGAUGUAGAAAUAUAAUGGACUCACAAGUCGUGUAUAAUGCUCUCCGUUCGUCUUCUUUUAAUUAUGCGUUUGGUCGUUUGAUUGAUGAUGUAAGAGAUUUAGCAUCCGCAAUUGGGGAUGUUGAAUUUCAUUUUGUUAAGCGGUCUGCGAACUG